GCAAUAUAAAUCUCUCCUCCAAAUUAGGGAUAAGGAAACAUGACUGGUCAUGUUCUAUAUUUCACCAUUAAUUUUAACGCAUUCUUUUCCAUGAUUCCCAAUGACCUGCUUAGGAAAGGAAAGUAGUUUUCCAAAUUGGAUCUGACCCGCUGCUACUAUAACAAAAUUUUCAAGGCACACGACUAGCAGGAAAAUCUUGAAUUUUUUAUCCAUAUUAGCCAAGCAAAUUGUUCCCAUCGUUGAAAUAAGCUAGAUUCUGAGUUUCUAUCUUUCCAAGAAUACCUGGGAUAGGUCAUCAUCAGAUUAAAAGAUUCCCAGAUACGUCAGAGAUGUGAAGUGCAAGAACGAGGCAGGACUGUGCAUCAACGAAGUGGCUUAAAUUAUCAAGAGGAGAAAAAUCAUUUCUAUUAAUCUGCUGGGACUAAAAGCGGCUUAUUUCUCCUGACCAAGAUCAGGCCUGAACCCUAAUCAAGUCAAGAUUUCCUAUAUCCCACCAAUCAAAGCCCGUGGAUGGACGCCAGUAAUAACACGAAAGGAAACGAAGAGAAAAACAAGUGGAAUCCAGAAAAAGAAAAUUACCAGAUGAGUCCAAUUCAAUAGAAGCAAUGUACAUGAAACAAGCAACAUAGGAAAAGGCUUGUACAAGCACAAACAUGCAUGGGUAAGGAGGAUUGUGGACAGUCUAGAGAGCACAUGUAAAACACCAGCUGCUCAUGAGGCCAUAAAAAACAAGUCAUAAUCAAAUCCAAUCUGAAGAAUCUUGUGGAUCUUUGUCAAAUACAAUCAAAGCAAUGGUCAUGGUUAUGAAGCAUUGAUCAUCCAACACUAUCUCUCACCGUCCCGCCAGAACUGCUUUGUCCAUUGCUUUCUAACCCUUUCUUCACUUCCACAAGAUCAGAAUCUUGUGGUCUUUAUCAAACUCAACCGGCCUAUCUCGCGGAGCGGCCUCUCAGAAGUUCCGGUGAAGGAUUUGUCGGGCUUCAACCGAUUAGUUUUCGAGAUACUUUUUUCACUGCUCAGCAUCAACAUCGUAAUUUCUUAGGCCAGUAUAGAGUUGGAAACUGGUUGUUUUCAUAUACAUUAAACAAAAGAAGGCCCUGCCAAUAUCGAACAGCAUCAUGUUGAUUGGAUUCAAGCCUAGCUUGCAAAUUGAAUGCAAUACCCUCUGAUUUGCUAAAGUAAUUCUCUUUCCUUCUCUUUUUCUAACCCCACCAUCUCUUUCAUUUUCUCCUCACCAUCGACAACAACUACACGUGUUUGUUUAAUAUCUUGCUGCUUUACAGACUUUCUUUGCAUACUUAAUUAGGUUCCGAUUCGUAUUCAAAUCAAAUUCAAACCCCGCCAUUUUUUUUAUUUUUGAUGUUUUAGACGACAAAAUGUCUAUGACUGAAAUCAUUCAACAAGAACCGUUUAAGAAAGAACGUGGAUUUCUGUCUUCUUAAAAGGUUUUAUUAGAAUAAGAAAGAAAUGAUCUUGAUAGAUACAGAAAGGAGUUGUCUAGAUGUUAUUUCGUUUCAAAACGAGAAGAGAAGCUGAGCAGGAAAGGUGACAUCAGGUCACUGAAAUUAUUCAACAUCCAAGUCAACAAUUUGGCUGUAAGUUCCAGGACUUGCAAUUGACAUACUGUUCAUGUCGUCAUUCCUUGAUAUUUAUCUUUUGCCCUUCAUGCGGAAGAAUGAUCUUCCUUGUUGUAUUUGAGCUCUGUGUCUUGGCAGACUACAAGUGUCGAAGUUGCCGAAUGCUUGAAAACCGGACUUUUAAAAUGGUUUCAAACAUACUGUAAUUAAAC